rnacentral:tRNA from 3 species
GGUCGCGUAGCUCAGUUGGUAGAGCACUACCUUGACAUGGUAGUGGUCGUAGGUUCAAGUCCUAUCGUGGCCACCA